rnacentral:rRNA from 1 species
GUGAAGCGAGCCACCUGGGAAGUACGGCCGCAAGGCUGAAACUUAAAAGGAAUUGGCGGGGGAGCACUACAACGGGUGGAGCCUGCGGUUUAAUUGGAUUCAACGCCGGAAAUCUCACCGGGGGCGACAGCAUGAUGAAGGCCAGGCUGAAGACCUUGCCUGAUCCGCUGAGAGGUGGUGCAUGGCCGUCGUCAGUUCGUACUGUGAAGCAUCCUGUUAAGUCAGGCAACGAGCGAGACCCACGCCCACAGUUGCCAGCGAGCCCUUCGGGGUGGCGGGUACUCUGUGGGGACCGCCGCUGCUAAAGCGGAGGAAGGAAUGGGCAACGGUAGGUCAGUAUGCCCCGAAUCUCCCGGGCUACACGCGGGCUACAAUGGUCGGUACAAUGGGUAUCUACCCCGAGAGGGGAUGGAAAUCUCCUAAAACCGGUCGUAGUUCGGAUUGAGGGCUGCAACUCGCCCUCAUGGAGCUGGAAUCCGUAGUAAUCGCGUUUCAACAGAACGCGGUGAAUACGUCCCUGCUCCUUGCACACACCGCCCGUCAAACCACCCGAGUAGGGUCUGGAUAAGGGUGCGCCAUGUUGACGCAUUCGAAUCUGGGCUUUGCAAGGGGGGUUAAGUCGUAACAAGGUAACCAAGGGCGAAU